CCAGACUCCUACGGGAGGCAGCAGUGGGGAAUAUUGCACAAUGGGGGAAACCCUGAUGCAGCGACGCCGCGUGAGCGAUGAAGUAUUUCGGUAUGUAAAGCUCUAUCAGCAGGGAAGAAAGAAAUGACGGUACCUGACUAAGAAGCCCCGGCUAACUACGUGCCAGCAGCCGCGGUAAUACGUAGGGGGCAAGCGUUAUCCGGAUUUACUGGGUGUAAAGGGAGCGUAGACGGCGAUGCAAGUCUGAAGUGAAAGGCGGGGGGCCAACCCCCGGACUGCUUUGGAAACUGUGUAGCGGGAGUGCAGGAGAGGUAAGUGGAAUUCCUAGUGUAGCGGUGAAAUGCGUAGAUAUUAGGAGGAACACCAGUGGCGAAGGCGGCUUACUGGACUGUAACUGACGUUGAGGCGCGAAAGCGUGGGGAGCAAACA
rnacentral:rRNA from 1 species